GACAGAGGGUGCAAACGUUGCUCGGAAUCACUGGGCGUAAAGGGCGUGUAGGCGGGAAAGUAAGUCGGGCGUGAAAUCCCUAGGCUCAACCUAGGAACUGCACUCGAAACUACUUUUCUUGAGUGCCGGAGAGGAAAGCGGAAUUCCUGGUGUAGAGGUGAAAUUCGUAGAUAUCAGGAGGAACACCAGUGGCGAAGGCGGCUUUCUGGACGGUAACUGACGCUGGAGACGCGAAAGCGUGGGGAGCAAACAGG
rnacentral:rRNA from 1 species